UGGGGAAUAUUGGACAAUGGGCGAGAGCCUGAACCAGCCAAGUAGCGUGCAGGAUGACGGCCCUAUGGGUUGUAAACUGCUUUUAUAUGGGAAUAAAGUGAGGGACGUGUCCCUUAUUGCAUGUACCAUACGAAUAAGGACCGGCUAAUUCCGUGCCAGCAGCCGCGGUAAUACGGAAGGUCCAGGCGUUAUCCGGAUUUAUUGGGUUUAAAGGGAGCGUAGGCUGUUUGUUAAGCGUGUUGUGAAAUGUAAGAGCUCAACUUUUAGAUUGCAGCGCGAACUGGCAGACUUGAGUGCGCACAACGUAGGCGGAAUUCAUGGUGUAGCGGUGAAAUGCUUAGAUAUCAUGACGAACUCCGAUUGCGAAGGCAGCUUACGGGAGCGCAACUGACGCUAAAGCUCGAAGGUGCGGGUAUCGAACAGG
rnacentral:rRNA from 1 species